rnacentral:rRNA from 1 species
UGAGAACAUGCCUAUUGAUUGGGGACAACAGUUGGAAACGACUGCUAAUACCGAAUGUGCCGAAAGGUGAAAGAUUUAUCGUCAAUAGAUUGGCUCGCGUCAGAUUAGGUAGUUGGAGUGGUAACGGCACACCAAGCCUACGAUCUGUACUUGGUCUGAGAGGAUGACCAGGCACACUGGAACUGAGACACGGUCCAGACUCCUACGGGAGGCAGCAGUGGGGAAUUUUCCGCAAUGGGCGCAAGCCUGACGGAGCAAUACCGCGUGUGGGAGGACGCCUUUUGGGGUGUAAACCACUUUUAUCAGGGAAGAAUUGAUGACGGUACCUGAUGAAUCAGCAUCGGCUAACUCCGUGCCAGCAGCCGCGGUAAUACGGAGGAUGCAAGCGUUAUCCGGAAUUAUUGGGCGUAAAGCGUCCGUAGGUGGCUAUAUAAGUCUUUUGUCAAAUCGUGCAGCUUAACUGCAUACAGGCGGAGGAAACUAUAGAGCUAGAGUGCGAUAGGGGUCACAGGAAUUCCCAGUGUAGCGGUGAAAUGCGUAGAUAUUGGGAAGAACACCAGCGGCGAAAGCGUGUGACUGGGUCUGCACUGACACUGAGGGACGAAAGCUAGGGGAGCGA